rfam:Clostridium magnum DSM 2767 CLMAG_contig000002, whole genome shotgun sequence.
GGAUGAACCCUUGGAGAGACUCGAAAUAGAGCACCGAAGGAGAAAGUCGUAUGACGAAACUCUCAGGUAAAAGGACAGGGGACAGGUA